AUUGAACGCUGGCGGAAUGCUUUACACAUGCAAGUCGAACGGCAGCACGGGGGCAGCCCUGGUGGCGAGUGGCGAACGGGUGAGUAAUACAUCGGAACGUGCCCGGUCGCGGGGGAUAACGUAGCGACAGAUACGCUAAUACCGCAUACGAUCAGAGGAUGAAAGCGGGGGACCUUCGGGCCUCGCGCGAUCGGAGGAGCCGAUGACAGGAUAGGUAGUUGGUGGGGUAAAGGCCUACCAAGCCGACGAUCUGUAGCUGUUCAGAGAGGACGACCAGCCACACGUGACCUGCGCCCCGGCCCAGACCCCUACGGGUGGCAGCAUUGGGGAUUUUGGCCCAAUGGGCGCAAGCCUGACCCAGCCAUUCCGCGUGCACGACGAAGGCCUUCGGGUUGUAAACUGCUUUUGUACGGAACUAAAAGGCUCUGUCUAAGCCCUGCUGUUCAGGCCGGGACCGUAAGAAAAUCCACCGCCCACCUCCGU
rnacentral:rRNA from 1 species